rnacentral:rRNA from 1 species
UAGGAAUGGUCAUAGGCAGACGGGAGUGUAAUGCGUGGACACGUACUCUUUUGGUUCGGAACAGCAGAGGUUAACUUCGGCGAAUAUCCGUCCUAAGCCCUUAGGGAUAACGAUUUAUCGGCGACAGAUCGGCCCGCCUCUGAUUAACUAGUUGGUGAGUUUAUGACUCACCAAGGCGACCAUCAGAAGCUGGUCUGAGAGGAUGAUCUGCCACAUUGGGACUGACACACGCCCCAAACUCCUACGGGAGGGAGCAGUGGGGAACAUUGCACAAUGGGCGCAAGCCUGAUCCAGCCAUGCCGGGUGAGUGAUGAAGGCCCUACGGUUGUCAAGCUCUUUUGUCCGUGCAGAUAAUGACGGUACCUCUCGAAUAAGCCCCGGAUAACUUCGUGCCAGCAGCCGCGUUAAUACCAAGGGAGCUAGCGAUGCUCGUAAUCACUGGCCGUAAAGGGUGCGUAAGGGGGUCUUUAAGUCCGGGGCGAAACCCUGAAGCUCAACUCCUGAACUGCCUUUUAUACUGAACAUCUUGAGUUCCUUUGAGGUUAAUGCAUCUGCGAGUGCUCACCUGACAUUCUGCAGAAUUCGCUAAGAUCCCCCGUUGACGAGGGAGGCUCCCUGGCCCCGGGACUUACCCUGAUGACACGAAAGGCUUGGCGAGGCAAACGGAAUUAGGAUUCGCUGGUCUGGCCUCUUCGGGUAAACGAAUGAAUGGCCAGCCCGUCAGUGGAGUUUUUACUCCCCUCUGGGGGGGAGCCUUAACGGAUUUUAAGAAAUACCCU